rnacentral:rRNA from 2 species
AAGUCGUAACAAGGUUUCCGUAGGUGAACCUGCGGAAGGAUCAUUACAGUAGUCACCCAGGUUGCCGCAAGGCCUCCUGGGUAACCUACCACCCUUUGUUUAUUACACUUUGUUGCUUUGGCAAGCCUGCCCUCGGGCUGCUGGCUCCGGCCGGCGAGCGCUUGCCAGAGGACCUAAACUCUGUUUGUCUAUACUGUCUGAGUACUAUAUAAUAGUUAAAACUUUCAACAACGGAUCUCUUGGUUCUGGCAUCGAUGAAGAGCGCAGCGAAAUGCGAUAAGUAAUGUGAAUUGCAGAAUUCAGUGAAUCAUCGAAUCUUUGAACGCACAUUGCGCCCCCUGGUAUUCCGGGGGGCAUGCCUGUCCGAGCGUCAUUACAACCCUCAAGCUCAGCUUGGUAUUGGGCCCCGCCGACCCGGCGGGCCCUAAAGUCAGUGGCGGUGCCGUCCGGCUCCGAGCGUAGUAAUUCUUCUCGCUCUGGAGGUCCGGUCGUGUGCUCGCCAGCAACCCCCAAUUUUUUUCAGGUUGACCUCGGAUCAGGUAGGGAUACCCGCUGAACUUAA